rnacentral:rRNA from 1 species
UGCAGUCGANGGCAGCACGGGGGCAACCCUGGUGGCGAGUGGCGAACGGGUGAGUAACAUAUCGGAACGUGCCCUGGAGUGGGGGAUAACUAGUCGAAAGAUUAGCUAAUACCGCAUACGAUCUAUGGAUGAAAGUGGGGGAUCGCAAGACCUCAUGCUCGUGGAGCGGCCGAUAUCUGAUUAGCUAGUUGGUGGGGUAAAGGCCUACCAAGGCAUCGAUCAGUAGCUGGUCUGAGAGGACGACCAGCCACACUGGGACUGAGACACGGCCCAGACUCCUACGGGAGGCAGCAGUGGGGAAUUUUGGACAAUGGGCGCAAGCCUGAUCCAGCAAUGCCGCGUGAGUGAAGAAGGCCUUCGGGUUGUAAAGCUCUUUUGUCAGGGAAGAAACGGUGGAGGUUAAUACCUUCUGCUAAUGACGGUACCUGAAGAAUAAGCACCGGCUAACUACGUGCCAGCAGCCGCGGUAAUACGUAGGGUGCAAGCGUUAAUCGGAAUUACUGGGCGUAAAGCGUGCGCAGGCGGUUGUGCAAGACAGAUGUGAAAUCCCCGGGCUCAACCUGGGAAUUGCAUUUGUGACUGUACGGCUAGAGUGUGUCAGAGGGGGGUAGAAUUCCACGUGUAGCAGUGAAAUGCGUAGAGAUGUGGAGGAAUACCGAUGGCGAAGGCAGCCCCCUGGGAUAACACUGACGCUCAUGCACGAAAGCGUGGGGGAGCAAACAGGAUUAGAUACCCUGGUAGUCCACGCCCUAAACGAUGUCUACUAGUUGUCGGGUCUUUAUUGACUUGGUAACGCAGCUAACGCGUGAAGUAGACCGCCUGGGGAGUACGGUCGCAAGAUUAAAACUCAAAGGAAUUGACGGGGANCCGCACAAGCGGUGGNNGAUGUGGNNUNANUUCGAUGCNACGCGAAAAACCUUACC